UGACCUUGCGGAGGGAUCAUUACACAAAUAUGAAGGCGGGCUGGAACCUCUCGGGGUUACAGCCUUGCUGAAUUAUUCACCCUUGUCUUUUGCGUACUUCUUGUUUCCUUGGUGGGUUCGCCCACCACUAGGACAAACAUAAAACCUUUUGUAAUUGCAAUCGUCAGUAACAAAUUAAUAAUUACAACUUUCAACAACGGAUCUCUUGGUUCUGGCGGAUGAAGAACGCAGCGAAAUGACGAUAAGUAGUGUGAAUUGCAGAAUUCAGUGAAUCAUGAACGCACAUUGCGCCCUUUGGUAUUCCAAAGGGCAUGCCUGUUCGAGCGUCAUUUGAUACCCUCAAGCUUUGCUUGGUGUUGGGCCGUCUUGUCUCUAGCUUUGCUGGAGACUCGCCUUAAAGUGAAUUGGCAGCCGGCCUACUGGUUUGCGGAGCUGCAGCACCAAGUCGCACUCUCUAUCUAGCAAAGGUCUAGCAUCCAUUAAGCCUUUUUUUGCAACUUUUGACCUCGGAUCAGGUAGGGAUACCCGACCGCUUGUGUGGUAUGCAUAUCAAUAGCCGGAGGAAA
rnacentral:rRNA from 1 species